rnacentral:rRNA from 1 species
GAUGAACGCUGGCGGCGUGCCUAAUACAUGCAAGUCGAGCGAACGGACGAGAAGCUUGCUUUUCUGAUGUUAGCGGCGGACGGGUGAGUAACACGUGGAUAACCUACCUAUAAGACUGGGAUAACUUCGGGAAACCGGAGCUAAUACCGGAUAAUAUUUUGAACCGCAUGGUUCAAAAGUGAAAGACGGUCUUGCUGUCACUUAUAGAUGGAUCCGCGCUGCAUUAGCUAGUUGGUAAGGUAACGGCUUACCAAGGCAACGAUGCAUAGCCGACCCGAGAGGGUGAUCUGCCACACUGGAACUGAGACACGGUCCAGACUCCUACGGGAGGCAGCAGUAGGGAAUCUUCCGCAAUGGGCGAAAGCCUGACGGAGCAACGCCGCGUGAGUGAUGAAGGUCUUCGGAUCGUAAAACUCUGUUAUUAGGGAAGAACAUAUGUGUAAGUAACUGUGCACAUCUUGACGGUACCUAAUCAGAAAGCCACGGCUAACUACGUG